GACGAACGCUGGCGGCGUGCCUAAUACAUGCAAGUCGAACGCUUCUUUCCUCCCGAGUGCUUGCACUCAAUUGGAAAGAGGAGUGGCGGACGGGUGAGUAACACGUGGGUAACCUACCCAUCAGAGGGGGAUAACACUUGGAAACAGGUGCUAAUACCGCAUAACAGUUUAUGCCGCAUGGCAUAAGAGUGAAAGGCGCUUUCGGGUGUCGCUGAUGGAUGGACCCGCGGUGCAUUAGCUAGUUGGUGAGGUAACGGCUCACCAAGGCCACGAUGCAUAGCCGACCUGAGAGGGCGAUCGGCCACACUGGGACUGAGACACGGCCCAGACUCCUACGGGAGGCAGCAGUAGGGAAUCUUCGGCAAUGGACGAAAGUCUGACCGAGCAACGCCGCGUGAGUGAAGAAGGUUUUCGGAUCGUAAAACUCUGUUGUUAGAGAAGAACAAGGACGUUAGUAACUGAACGUCCCCUGACGGUAUCUAACCAGAAAGCCACGGCUAACUACGUG
rnacentral:rRNA from 1 species